GGGCGGGAGGAGGCGGGGCAGGAGGCGGGGAGUCCCAGUUAAAAGGCUCCAGGUCCCUGGACCAGGCAGAGUGAGCUCCUGGGGCCUCUUGCUCUGGGUCAGAAUCAGCCUCGGCAUGGGACGCCCACGGCCUGCUGCCAUGUGCGCCUGGAUCUUCCUGCUCUUGCUGCUGGAAGCCUGUGCAGGGCACUGGAGGGCACAGGAGAGCAAGGUGCUGGGGGCCAGGGGCUCAGGGCCCAUUCACAGCCUGGGAAGGCGGCUUUGUUCCAGAGCAUUCAGCUGUCAUGUCAGGGUGUCUGCAUAAAUGUCACAACUGGGUC